AGGGGCCACAAGGGAGGACAACAGUGUGAGUUGGGCACGGCCACAGAGCAAGUGAGCAGAGCAGCUGGGCGCAUCUGAGAUGACGAAGAGGCAGCUGGUGACUGGAGGAGUGACGUGUGCUUGUCCUUCAGAAGGAAGGGAAGAGGGAGACUCUCGGCCCCUUGAAAGCUAAAUGCCGAGGGAGGAGUCGUGCAGGGCGACGGAGGAGGGCCAAGGAUAGCGCUGUAAGCAGGUGGUGGUCAAGCUUGAACAUGGCAGUUGGAUCUGAUGGCGUCCAGGUGCCGCAAUCAGCCUUCAGAGGGGAGACGACGCAUGGCGACGAGGGGUCCGAGAAGGU